CCCCACAAGCCACUCAAUCUGACCCGACACGCAGGGAUGCAAGGCACAGAUGAGGCUCUGAAACUCUUCUGCAUAGCAUCACAUGAGGUACACUGGGAAAAUUGCUUCACUGACGCAGCUUGGACUCAGCCUGCAAAAGUUACUCUGUAUGUGGAGGACUCUCUAUGACACAGAGAUGAAGCAUGGAGGAGGCAGGAGCAGCACAGAAACAGAAAGGAAAAUCUCAGGAAGAGUCAUCUGAAAAGCAGGAGAAGGUGGCUUGAGUUAGGAAGCAAGGAUAUCCUGCUCCCAAAGCAUGCAGAGCAGCAGCAACCAAGAAGGGUGGGAGCUCUGAUGGUGGCUGGUAGAGGGGAAAGAAGAUGAUGAGGAGAAACCAGUGGGGUCUGAAACAUCUUAGAGCCAUGUCAUAAAACUGAAAAAAUUAUAGUAAUCUAAAUAAUGUGUAAAAAAUCCAGCCA